ensembl:lncRNA
AUAGGCUUUCAAUGGUCUUCCAAUGGUGCGACUGCUGUCGGCAUCCAAAGAUUUUCCAACUUGAAUAAAGCUUGGAGCCUUCUUGAAGGGUGGGUGAGAGCUUACAUCAAUCUUCCUGCUCCCCUGGAUCGCAGCGAAUGCAGCCUCCUCCUUCUCCUCCAUCAGAAACGUAGUCAUCUUCCAGGCCAACUCACAACAAAACAACUGACAGGAAGUUACAACUUCAAUUAGCACUGACGUGUGAAGUGAGACGUGUCGAAGCCUUUGAGCCCAACAAAUGGCAGGCUACCCCACCCAAAUCCAGAGACCUUGAAGCCCCCCCCCUGCUGUUCAGAGACCACACACUGGCAUUUUCUACAAGAACUCUGCCUCCAGAAAUGAAAGCUUCUCCCAACCUACUCCCGUUGCCUGCUGCACUGCUGCUAUGGGUUCCACCUGGCGAUCUGUUCACUGUCUGCCCUGGUUGUCUCCCCCACCACACUGUUGGGGCAAGUGACACUGGUCUUACAAUGGCUAGCCCCAAGUCGUUAUAUAUUUAAUUAUUUUCUUGUGCGUUUAGCUAUUUUGCUAAUUGCCUAAUGACUCCUUUGUGCUUUGUUGACUACGAACUUUCUUUAGCCAACCGUGGGACAGACUAUGUUUGUUCCCACACUCGGGAAUCUGACUCUCUAUUGGUUACACAGACUUUUGGCCUCCCAUACCAUUUCUAACCCUCUCUCGCCGGCUUUGUAUUCAUGUUACCUGAUGAAAUUGCUGUACAAUAUGAUCUUGUUGCCAUCUGAUGCACGUUCAGAUGUCAUAAAUCAGCACUGCAGAGAUCUCCCUGUACUAUGCCGUGCCUUGACUGUAUUACUGUUGAUGAAAUUUGGAAAUGUGCAUGUACACUCUGGCCCAUCUACUGUUGUUAGCCCCUCUGCACGUUAACACUUGAAGCUUAUUACCUAAACUAGAUCAAUUGAAAGUGUGGGUUCACAGCUUCAAUCCAGAUGUGCUGGUCAUUACUGAGACGU